UUAUGUACAUAUUUUGUUCUUAUUUCCAGAACAGUACAGACCUUUGUUUUUCUCAAGACACCUGUGGAAUCAAUGAUCUUCAUAAUUUCACCAGUGACCAGUCCAAAGACCAAUGGAAUGAUGUUGAAGGUCCACUAAUUGGUGAUCAUGAGACUCAAGCGUCAGAAGGUGGAGAAGCUGAUCUACACAAA
rnacentral:sRNA from 1 species